rnacentral:rRNA from 1 species
UCAAAUUUUUAAGAGCAAACGGUGAAUGCCUUGGCAUGUAGAGCCGAAGAAGGACGUAGUAAUCUGCGAUAAGCCUCGGGGAGUUGAUAAACGAACUGUGAUCCGAGGAUGUCCGAAUGGGGAAACCCCGCCAGGCCCGUGAGGUGACCUGGUGACUCCCGCCUGAAUAUAUAGGGCGGGUAGAGGGAACGUGGGGAAGUGAAACAUCUCAGUACCCACAGGAAGAGAAAACAAUAGUGAUUCCGUUAGUAGUGGCGAGCGAACCCGGAUGAGGCUAAACCGAUCAUGUGUGAUAGCCGGUAGGCGUUGCAUGGUCGGGGUUGCGGGACUUUUCUGCCUAUUCUACCGAAUGGUAAGGGUUAGAACGUUGUAUAGACGAACAGGAUUGAAAGCCUGGUCAUAGAGGGUGCGAACCCCGUAGUCGAAAUGCAGCAAUCGCCCGAGAAGUAUCCCAAGUAGCACGGGGCCCGAGAAAUCCCGUGUGAAUCCGUCAGGACCACCUGAUAAGCCUAAAUACUCCUACAUGACCGAUAGUGAACAAGUACCGUGAGGGAAAGGUGAAAAGUACCCCGGGAGGGGAGUGAAAUAGUACCUGAAACCGUUUGCUUACAAACCGUUGGAGCCAGCUUUGUUCUGGUGACAGCGUGCCUUUUGAAGAAUGAGCCUGCGAGUUAGUGAUAUGUGGCGAGCUUAACCCGAGAGGGGAAUGCGUAGCGAAAGCGAGUCUGAAUAGGGCGAUUCAGUCGCAUGUCCUAGACCCGAAGCGAAGUGAUCUAUCCAUGGCCAGGUUGAAGCGACGGUAAGACGUCGUGGAGGACCGAACCCACUUCAGUUGAAAAUGGAGGGGAUGAGCUGUGGAUAGGGGUGAAAGGCCAAUCAAACUUCGUGAUAGCUGGUUCUCUCCGAAAUGCAUUUAGGUGCAGCGUUGCGUGUUUCUUGCCGGAGGUAGAGCUACUGGAUGGCCGAUGGGGCCCAAAAGCUUACUGACGUCAGCCAAACUCCGAAUGCCGGUAAGUGAGAGCGCAGCAGUGAGACGGUGGGGGAUAAGCUUCAUCGUCGAGAGGGAAACAACCCAGACCACCAACUAAGGUCCCAAAGCGCGUGCUAAGUGGGAAAGGAUGUGGAGUUGCACAGACAACCAGGAGGUUGGCUUAGAAGCAGCCACCCUUGAAAGAGUGCGUAAUAGCUCACUGGUCAAGUGAUUCCGCGCCGACAAUGUAACGGGGCUCAAGCACGCCACCGAAGUUGUGGCAUUGAUAUUUUUGGUUAGCUAACACCCUUGUGGUGUUGGUUCAGCCGUGUUGAUGGGUAGGAGAGCGUCGUGUGGCCAGCGAAGCGGCGGUGUAAACCAGCCGUGGAGGCCACACGAGUGAGAAUGCAGGCAUGAGUAGCGAAAGACGGGUGAGAAACCCGUCCUCCGAAAGAUCAAGGGUUCCAGGGCCAGGCUAAUCCGCCCUGGGUAAGUCGGGACCUAAGGCGAGGCCGACAGGCGUAGUCGAUGGACAACGGGUUGAUAUUCCCGUACUGACGAAAAACCGCCCAAACUAAUCCAGUAAUGCUAAGCAUCUGAAUCCCCUAGAUGGAUCCCUUCGGGGUGAAGCGUGGGGCCUAGCGUGCGACCCUAUGCUGGUGCGGUUAGCGUAUUAACAGGUGUGACGCAGGAAGGUAGCUGAGCCGGGCGAUGGUUGACCCGGUCUAAGGAUGUAGGCCGAGAGAUAGGCAAAUCCGUCUCUCAUAUAAGGUUGAGACCCGAUGGGUAGCCCGUAAGGGUGAAAUCAGUGAUCCUAUGCUGCCAAGAAAAGCAUCGACGCGAGGUUUUAGUCACCCGUACCCCAAACCGACUCAGGUGAUCAGGUAGAGAAUACUAAGGAGAUCGAGAGAAUCGUGGUUAAGGAACUCGGCAAAAUGCCCCCGUAACUUCGGGAGAAGGGGGGCCUGAGGCGUGAACGGACUUGCUCCGGGAGCGUUCGAAGGCCGCAGAGACCAGUGGGAAGCGACUGUUUACUAAAAACACAGGUCCGUGCUAAGUCGCAAGACGAUGUAUACGGACUGACGCCUGCCCGGUGCUGGAAGGUUAAGAGGAACGGUUAGCCGCAAGGCGAAGCUGAGAAUUUAAGCCCCAGUAAACGGCGGUGGUAACUAUAACCAUCCUAAGGUAGCGAAAUUCCUUGUCGGGUAAGUUCCGACCUGCACGAAUGGCGUAACGACUUC